rnacentral:rRNA from 1 species
AACGAACGCUGGCGGCAGGCCUAACACAUGCAAGUCGAACGCCCUAGCAAUAGGGAGUGGCAGACGGGUGAGUAACACGUGGGAACCUUCCCUACACUACGGAAUAGCCCAGGGAAACUUGGAGUAAUACCGUAUACGCCCGAGAGGGGAAAGAUUUAUCGGUAUAGGAUGGGCCCGCGUCGGAUUAGCUAGUUGGUGAGGUAAUGGCUCACCAAGGCGACGAUCCGUAGCUGGUUUGAGAGAACGACCAGCCACACUGGGACUGAGACACGGCCCAGACUCCUACGGGAGGCAGCAGUGGGGAAUAUUGGACAAUGGGCGCAAGCCUGAUCCAGCCAUGCCGCGUGAGUGAUGAAGGCCUUAGGGAUGUAAAGCUCUUUUGCCGGGGACGAUAAUGACGGUACCCGGAGAAUAAGUCCCGGCUAACUUCGUGCCAGCCGCCGCUGUAA